ensembl:lncRNA
UGUUGUUGUUCAAGAAGAAGACCACCACAAUUUGGUUGCGGGAAAUAUUUUUUAUUUUCUAAAUUAAUGAAAGACCGUUUAACUUCACGACCACCUUAAAUUAUUCGGAGGUACCGAAAAGCAAAAGCGGCGUUUCUCCUAAAGCAGAAUGCAUCCGUCUGGAGAACUCACCUCAGCGGAUUUGUUAUGGACUGCGCUACUGCAUUAUUCGGCUGCUUUACAAACUAGCACGUAAACUUGGAAAAUAGCUCAAUAGCUAGCUAGCCAAACUACGUAUGUCGAUUGUCAUUAAAUCCUUCUAACGCGACAUUGGCUGAUAUUUCGAGCGGUUUCAGUUAAACGUUAUAUGAAGACUUGACGGAAAGUUCACUUGCAACCCAAGUGAGAAAACUAGUUGUAGCUGGUGUAUGCUAGGGGGCUCUUAAAAUUAAACCUGUCGGAGCUAGUGCUUAACUUACUUGAUUUAAGCCUUUACCCCACGAACUAGCUAGAGGAGUUUUGUAAACUAUGUCCGACGUUCAAAUCUUUUAACUUAAAAGAAAAUGCGAUAGAAUAGGGACAACGGGAAAUAAGUCCCGUUCCCGUUAUCUGACGGCUUUAAAAUUGGAUCGAACACUUUGGCGUGUGGCCUGCUGGUCAGGCUUUAGCCGCGUUAGAUUUGGGGUUCACGCCGCUGUAGAGAGCGCUCAAUCCGGCUGCCUGUAAAAAUCAUACUCCGGUUUGUUGACGAACCAUGGAAAGAAUGGAAGUAGACCAGUGCGCAGGCGCAGCUGGUGGGAGCGGGGGCGGGGCUCUUCGAAGGUCGAAUAGCGCCCCUAUGAUCACAAAUGUCAGUGAUGCAAUGACAGUAUUCAACUCUAACAGUUCAGCUCGGUAUCGUCGGAGCAGUGUGUCCAUCAAUCCUAGCUGUCCCUCCAGGACCCUCCCUCCUUCUCCAUUCUCCUUGUCCAGUGAGAGGCCGGAUCACAGGAGGCAGAUGGACAAUAUGGAACUGACUCUCAGAGGGAGUUUACAGAGACUAAGUGCCUCAACUACAGUCCCCUUACCUCCUGCCGGUCACUGGCAUGAGCAUCUUUCACCAGGAUUCUAUUCCCAAGACUCUGGUGUCACUCCUAAUUCUUCCCCCAGUCCAACUAGAAGGUUUCGGGGAGGGUCGGUGAGUUCUGCUGUGAGAUGGCCGGUGGUAGCACCUUUGAAAAGGAAAGGGGGAGUGGAGUCCGACGGCCCUCCUAAAAAACUCUUUGUGGCUGGAGUUACAGAUCCAGCCCACAUAACUAGCUGUACUGUCAGUGUUCCCCAGUGUGUGGACUCCGUACCUGUUUGUUCAAGCCCUCAGAACAGCCCACUCUCACUCUCGCCUCCUCCAUCCUUCACGUCCCACCACCCCAGUAUCUAG